rnacentral:lncRNA from 1 species
AGACCCCCAGCAAUCCCCCAACGAGCUCGCUCUCCGGGACCCUGAAGGUGGGCCCUUCCUUUGCCCUGCCUUCCUGCACUUCAAGCUCAGCAGGCAGGUGCACAGGAUAAAAAGUCCUCAGACCUGAGGGACAGUGACCUUCAAAGCACCUCACUGUGUGGCUCAUGCACCCUCUUAUUAGGAAGGUUUGAGCUCAUAAUUCCAUGUGAGCUCAUAACUAUAUAUGUACAGUUAUUUAUAGAUUUCAAGUUUCCAUGACUGUGAAUCUAUUACUUGCAUUAUAAAAUAUUCACAAAAGAUAGACAUUUUAAAAGGACAAGAUGUAAAUACUCAGCAUAAAAUCCUCCUCUCCACCCCAGGGAGUCAUACCGUGGGUCCCAUUUUGGGGACCAAAGUGAGGGAGAGGCCACUCGGACUCCGGGGCUGUGAUGGGGCCCAUUCCCCAACCUUCCUCCUUCCUAAAGACCCCGCUCUGAAUUCGGCCACCAGGAAGACUUACUCCUCCCUGAGGCCAGCCAUCCUGUCAGCAGCGAGGGAGCCAAGCCCAGGGCUCCCAGGGGGUCCCCCAACAAAGUGCCACCCUCUGCAGGGCGGCCAGAGGAAGAGAAGUUUGACUAGUCUGUGGCGCAGGGGACAGAAACAGGCCCACGGGGGACAAAGUCACAGAAGGACUAGGGUUCCUUCGAAGACAGACAUCUGGCAGUUAGGGCCUAGAGCGAGGAGAGAAGUCUUGAAUGCUCCAGAACCGGGGUCCAGUCGCACCACUGGGGUCAAGACGGGCGGGGAGCCCCACGUCCAGCACAGGGCGAGGGCCCUGGGAACACCGCUCAUAAACAAGGUAGGACCGACCCUGGGACGCCAGGUGUCUGUUCCUGGACUCAGAACUUGGCGGAGGCUGGGCUGCCUUCUCGCCCACACCCUGUGCCCCUGCGACGCCUCUGGGGUCCUUGGGGAGGCCCACCCGUGGUGGACAGGGCAGGCGAGCCCUGGAAUUCUGCAGCAGAGGCUCUCUCCCCUCCCUGCGCCUGCGGAUAAGGCCAAGCGGGCUCAGAGAGUGGACCCCGAAGCCCUGACUCCUGUCCAUGUGAGCUCCAUCCGUGUCCGCUCUCUAGAACUUUCUUUGCCCUUCCUUCCCACAUGCGCUCUGGCCCCGGUGGCUGCAGGAGCAGGGGACAGAGAGGCAGGGGAGGUCGGAGGGGAAGGGUGCCCUCCGGGGCUCUGCCCACAGCCUCCCACCACGCAGGACCCUCGUCCUCAGGUCAUCCACCCCCGGCGUGGGGUCAGAGUCGGUGGAACUGGACCCCACACAGGCCAUGCCCUGGCCCAUGCCCAGCGUCUGACCCCACCGUGCUCCCCACCUGGUGGCCGAGGGGCCAGGGCCCCGGCAACAGGCGAGG